CUGGAUCUGCCCCUCAGGAGAAAGUUUAGGCCAAAAAUACAGGUUUCGUCAUCAUUAGCAAACUGGAUGAGAAUCCCCAGAGCAAGAAGCAGGACAAGGAAAGAAGAUAACCAAGGAGCAAACAUUGCUUGACCCUAAUGUUUAAGAGGCAGGAGAAAAGAGAAAAGCCCCACAAAAAACUAAAAAAGGCUGCUGAGGCGCUGAUCUGAGAUGUGCUUCCAUAAGGAACAAGGCAGUAGAGGAGGAGCCAAGAUGGCCAAAUAGGAACAGCUCCGGUCUACGGCUCCCAGCGUGAGAGAUGCAAAAGACGGGUGAUUUCUGCAUUUCCAUCAGAGUUUCAAGUAAAAAUGAAAAUCUCAACCGUGUCAUUAUUCAUGCCAAGCCUUAAACCUGGAUCAAGCUUUUCUAUCUAAUGUCACUCAUCAAAGACAAUUGUAAAUCCUUCAUCUACCUUAUCUUAUCUAAUACUCACAAAAACAAAGGGUGAUAUGGCAGAGACAGUUACAGUGCUCACCAAUGACUGCAAAAUGUCCGCAUCUCCCAGCCUCACUUGCAGAUAGAUGGGGACCAUGGAACUAGUUCCCACCAAAGAACUAUGAGUAGAAAUAGCAUGUGUCUGGAGCCAAAGAAGUUAAAAGCUGACAUGCCUCCUCCAUCCCUCUUUUCUCCUGCAAUAAUUAUCUUGGCUUGGAAGCCACAAGAGAAGAUGAGCUGACAGAUCCACACUGGAAUCUACAAGAGUGAAAAAUAUAAUUUCAUUGUGUUAAACCACUAAGAUUUCAGAAUUUGUCUGUUAUAACAGCAUAGCCUAUCCUGUCCUGACAAACAUAGAUAAUAUUUGGAAUAUGUAAUAACUAGUACAGAACAGGCACUAACAUAUUAGAAUGAAUGCAAUGACCAAUGAAUGAACGUCAUCGGCUGUACAUGACUGACAUGGCCAUAUGAGUCCAUACCAGUUAAAUAGCGAUGAAAACAACUCUACAAAUUUAUCCCAGUUUUAUAAUUGAUGAAACAGAAGCAUUGAGAGCUUGCCUAAGACAAUGACUUGUAAAUGGCAGAGUAGGAAUUCAAAUCAGCUGUUUGAUACAUAGACCAUUCUCUUUCUAUCUCAACAUUCUGCUUCCUACUUGUUGAAUGAUGCCUAAAUUACCCGAACAAUUAAUUCAUCAUGACUGCAGUAGAAGUGUCCGAAUACUUCAUUGUUUAUUUAAACCAUAGGGCAUGGUCCAAUCGUAUAUGUUUAUUCUUGUUGAAUUUUCUGUAACUUGAACUCAUUCUUGCCUCUGUAUAGGAUGUCAGUAUUAUAUUUUGCUUUUCCUUUCAAAUUUGCCUUUUGUCAUUAUUAAUCAUUAACCCUGAAACUGUAUUAUUUAAGGGGAUACAUCCAACUUUAUGACAUAACAUAUAUUAAAAAUGCAAGAGAAAAUUAAAUUGGAUGAAGUGCUUGGCUUUUGGCAUAGUUCUUUUGCUCCUGCUGCUCAUUCUUCAUUUAAAUUCAUAAGUCUCUUUUCUCCAUGACAGGAUAAUCAUCUCCACAGCAACUAACUAUUAUAUCACAAAGGACUAUGCCUGUGAGUGAGAACAGAUCAGCAGGAGCUGAGCAACACUUAAGCAACAGAGAUUCUAUUUGCACACAAAUAUCUCUAAUUAUAAUAAGCUAAGGAAGAAAUAUAUCAUUCCCUCCCCAACUCCCCCCCAUAAUACAAGCAGAGCUCUCUCUACAUGGUUUCUCUCAUUAAAAAAUGGUGCUUUCAACCACAAAUGUGUUUAACAAGAGCAUAUUCCCAUAUAGAGAUGAUAUCACCUGUUACUGUCAGGCAAAUGUGUGUCUAGACUGAAAAGCAGGCACUGGUUGAAUUAAAAUCACACAGACUUACUCCACGAUUUAGAGUAGAAGUCAAAGCAGGAUCUGUGUGUUACACAGAUCCUGUGUAGACAGCUAAUAACAUCCAAAAAAAAAAAAACAAUAAACAAAAACCUCUUUAAAAGUAAAAGGGAAGGUAUAAAAAUUGCCACUUGGCCAAAAGAUAUAUAUUACCAGAGCUUCUCUUUCCAAAGAGGAUACUUAAAAUGGUGUGGUCAAGAGCUGGCAUAAUUUGACUAAUCAUAAUAAUUGUAAGAUACUUUAAAUUUGAAGUGGGCUUGAACAUUUUACAACACAAUCUCAAAGUAGCACUUUUACUGGCAAG
rnacentral:lncRNA from 10 species